GUGCAGAGCAUCCGGGUUCUACGUCAGAACGCAGGCUCCUGCAUCAGCAGUGCUACAUGCGUGGUACUCUCUUGAAUGCUUGUCGAAGACUGACACAGACGAGAAAAGGUUGUUUUCUUUGUGCACAAAAAGUAUUCUUGUAGCUCCAUAAAAUGAUGAUGUCAGAUUUUAUCAAGAAUAUACUAAUUUGUGUUCCAAAGAUGAAAAAGGUCUUACGGAUUUGGAACAACACAAGGGUGAGUAAUGAGAAUUUUCAUUUUUGGCUGAACUAUCCCUUUAAGGGAGGCUGGGUUUAUUGUCAAACCUUUUUAAUCCAGGCUGAUCAAUGAUAUUUUGUAACAAGAUAUCUUUUUUAAAAUUAUUUUAUUCUUGACUUGGUUCUUGUUUUUUCUCAACAUCUGUUUAUACAUUGUGUGGCCUGAUCCAAUAUUUCUCCCUGUGUGCAGGGUUGUCGUGUCAAACAAAGCUUUAAAAAAAUGGAAAACAUCUUUUCACAUCUGACCUGCUAUUUUUUUUUUGUAUCCUUGUACAUAUGGGACUAUCCAAAGAGAUUUAUGGCAAAGACGUUGAAAGGGGAUUUAGAUGAAUGCAGGAUCUCCAUGAAACCAGUAGAUGGCAGCACACUUGAGGAGGUGAUGCACUGUUUGUUUAUGAGAGAGAUAAAGUGUAUGAUGAGCAGUUACUUCAUAACCUAUAAUCCAUUAUACCUCAUUUCUGAGCAGUAAAAUAAUUUAGAAUUGCUUUGACUUUUCUAAGCCAUCGGUCAUAUGAUUUAUACUUGGUAAACAAUACAACAAAACAACUCUAGCCAGUAAGCAACCAACCACCCAGAAUACCCUAGCAACUGCAUAGCAACCCAUCAAAAACCACCGUAACAACCCCAUAUCAACAUCCUGGCAAGACUUUUUCCAGACUGGAUUCCUGUGGAGUGUUUGUGCAUUGCGCAAUGUGCAAAAUGCACUAAACUGCAGACUUCAGAAAGCAACUGUCCACUUAGCGUAACCCAGAAUUCAUUUCUUCACUCAACCCAGAGUCAGAACCAGGAAUUUGUGCAGAUAUAAUUUAUGUGUUUUAAAGUGCCUGCUGUGCAGUUAGCUGGAAAAUAUCCAAGGCAAUAGCAGUACGCUAAAACCAAUAUAUGGCUUCUCUGACCUCAGAGCUUCUAGAAAUGUACAUAGAUCCAGAUGAGAUAGGGUGAGACUCAUUAUAAUGUCAGUCUGGUCCGAAAUACGGAAACAUCUUAAAAUUUUCAGCAUUCCACUUACUAAUCUUAAUAACUAUAAUUGUAUAUCAGCACACUUGUAUUGGUAUUGAACAGUAAGCUCAAUCAAAAUUCUAAAGCUCUCUUCAUCAUGUAUGAAUUAUAACAUGUGAAACCACAGCAUGACAAAUUACAACCAAAACCAUAACCUUCCAUUAACCUUGUUUACACAUCUCACAAAACAAAUGGUUGUGAUGUGUCCAUUCUAUACCUUUGAAUGAUCACUCAAGAUCUUUCUGAACAAAUGUAUGAGUGAUUCCAGACAUGAUCUCUGAUAGGAAACAGCAAUGCGAUUACACAACCUUCAAGGUUAAUCGUUUAAGUCUGGAGUGAGGUAUGAGGUUUGAUUAUGUCAGACUCUCUACACAUAACCUCUACUAGAUUAGCAAGGGUAUUUAGGUCUUGAAUAAUGCGUCACAUCUUUUUUAAAGACCUUGUUAGAGUUCACUAAAGAUUUAAAGGAAUACUUCCCCCUGAAAUUAAAAAUGUUCUGAUAAUAUAUGCACCCUCAGGCCAUCCAAGAUGAGUUUGUUUUUUCAGCGGAACAGAUGUGGAGAAAUUUAGCAUUGCAUCACUUGCUCACCAAUGGAUCCUCUGCAGUGAAUGGGUGCCGUCAGAAUGAGAGUCCAACAGACUCCAGUCCAUCUGCAAAAACAAAUCCAUCAUUACGGUGUUUUAACUUUAAACGGUCACUUCUGGCCAAAAUAAAAUUACGUAAUCUAUAAUAGCA
ensembl:lncRNA